rnacentral:tRNA from 1 species
AAGGGAGACCUAAUUCGGGUAUAAGACGAAAAAAGAGUAGUCGAAACCAAGAAUCAAUCCCAAAAGGUCGGAACGAGGUAUGUGGCUUUCAAACUAGGUUCUGGGUUCACACAGGACCUGAAUCAGGAACAAGGGCUAUUAGCUCAGGUGGUUAGAGCGCACCCCUGAUAAGGGUGAGGUCCCUGGUUCGAGUCCAGGAUGGCCCACCUGCACAGGUGGCAAAAACAAAGAAGCGAGGAAUCAGCACCUUAUCUUAUCUAUAUAUAAGAGAGAAUGCUGGCUCUGAGUAAAGAGUCCAGAGGAACCUUGAAAACUGCAUAGAGCUAGGUGAAAAAGCCAAAAAAGAAGACCGCAA